UCUGCCUUAUCGGCAAGCGGUCCCAUUAGAGUGCCCAACUUAAUGCUGGCAACUAAUGGCAAGGGUUGCGCUCGUUGCGGGACUUAACCCAACAUCUCACGACACGAGCUGACGACAGCCAUGCAGCACCUGUGUCCAGGUUCCCUUUCGGGCACCCCUCCAUCUCUGGAGGGUUCCUGGCAUGUCAAGGGUAGGUAAGGUUUUUCGCGUUGCAUCGAAUUAAUCCACAUCAUCCACCGCUUGUGCGGGUCCCCGUCAAUUCCUUUGUGUUUUAGCCUUGCGGCCGUACUCCCCAGGCGGGGUGCUUAAUGCGUUAGCUUCGGCACGGAACGGGUUGAUACGCCCCACACCUAGCACCCAUCGUUUACGGCUGGGACUAC
rnacentral:misc_RNA from 1 species